GCGGGAGUCGCCCAGCCUGGUCAAAGGCGCAGGGCUUAGGACCCUGUCUCUCAGGAGUUCGUGGGUUCAAAUCCCACCUCCCGCACCA
rnacentral:tRNA from 2 species